AAUAGAUACCCGGGUAGUCCACGCCGUAAACGAUGGAUACUAGCUGUCCGGCGCAAGCUGGGUGGCUAAGCGAAAGUGAUAAGUAUCCCACCUGGGGAGUACGUUCGCAAGAAUGAAACUCAAAGGAAUUGACGGGGGCCCGCACAAGCGGUGGAGCAUGUGGUUUAAUUCGAUGAUACGCGAGGAACCUUACCAGGGCUUAAAUGUAGUGGGACAGGUCCAGAGAUGGGCCCUUCUUCGGACUCAUUACAAGGUGCUGCAUGGUUGUCGUCAGCUCGUGCCGUGAGGUGUCAGGUUAAGUCCUAUAACGAGCGCAACCCCUGUCGUUAGUUGCCAGCGAGUGAAGUCGGGAACUCUAACGAGACUGCCGGUGCAAACCGUGAGGAAGUGGGGAUGACGUCAAAUCAUCACGGCCCUUACGUCCUGGGCUACACACGUGCUACAAUGGCCGGUACAGAGAGCAGCCACGCCGCAAGGCGGAGCGAAUCUACAAAAACCGGUCACAGUUCGGAUCGGGGUCUGCAACUCGA
rnacentral:rRNA from 1 species